AUCCCUAAACCCAACAAUUCUGGCGGCCUUUUAAUAACUGUAAGAGGAGCUCGUACAGUAAUCGACAAUACCCGAACACCCCACUAAACCCUAAUUAUAGUUUGUAUACCGSCGUCUAGGURAGGUCUAAAGAAACUAUCGAAACCAAAAAAACUUGUUAUGACAGGCCAUGGCACAGCGUACGGGAAAGUAUGAUACGACCUACAGUAAAUAAGAUUUAUCGAAGGGUAAGCUAACACAAUUCUGAAAGAGGAUUUUAAAGUAAUAGAAGUAUAAAUCACCACCAUGAAUACACCUACCAAAGGUGCACAAAUCG
rnacentral:rRNA from 1 species